rnacentral:lncRNA from 1 species
GAUGAGGUGGGGUGCUGACUAUCCAACAUCAUGACUCCACUAACACUCUUGCAGCACAGCAAUGCUCCAAAAGACUUCCCUGGACAGUAGAGACAGUUACUCCAACGAAGCAGAAUAAACUCUGACUCCAUAAACAGUGACUGAGCAGGUGUCCCAAUAUUGUGUGUAUGGUAUAUUGACUCUCUAAACUGUACAGAGAUCAGUGCAACAUUUAGAAUAGGUAUACAGAAAAGUGACAUCACAACUCAAGAGCACAACAAAGAGAAAGUGAAACUGAAUGAAUCAGGAAGUUCAGCCAUCUUCACAGCAAGUUCUUCGUAGAAGUUCUUCCCAGAAACUCAAAGAGGAGGAAGAAAAUGGCAGAAUGUUCAGCAACCCUACAACAAAGAGAAACCAGUGAGAAAACUGAUGAACCAGAUAACGUUUCAGAAACACACAGUGGUGCUGGAGCAGCAGCAGGAGCAGCAGAAGA